AACGCACAUUGCGCCCCUUGGUAUUCCGGGGGGCAUGCCUGUUCGAGCGUCAUUAUAACCCCUCAAGCUCAGCUUGGUGUUGGGGCCUGCCAACUGGCAGCCCUUAAAAUCAGUGGCGGCGCCAUCUGGCUCUAAGCGUAGUAAUUUCUCUCGCUAUAGGGUCCCGGUGGACGCUGGCCAGCAACCCCCAAUUUUCUAUGGUUGACCUCGGAUCAGGUAGGGAUACCCGCUGAACUUAA
rnacentral:misc_RNA from 1 species